CCCAAGUAGGAUUUGGGUGAAACCAGAGGCUGACUUGGAGGAGCUUAUGGGAGGAAGAAUUCAGCCAGCACAUGUUGUCUUGAAGGAGGGCCGUGAAAUCCUGAUCUCAAGGGGUGUAUUAUUCUGAGGUUCCUCCUCAUGACACCUGGGCUGCUGCCACAAAAACUUAAUUUUGGAAAUUGAGGAUUGAAGUGUUUAUUGGGGGGGGAGAUGUAUAAAAUUGCAUGGUUUUUGGAAAAACAACUGAAGAAAAAAGGAAAACAUUAGUAGUCUGCCAAAAUAACUGAACAUGGAGAUUUUGAAGAGCUAGGUCUAUACAACCUCCACCACCAAGGCAGCAAUACGUGUUGCACUAGGAAUGCUUGGGAGUUGCUGGAAUAGUUGUGGUGAAGGUAGAGAGGAAGAGCUUGAGCCAGGCCAAACUUCCUCUACAUCUCCCUUCUCUCCCCCACCCCCCCAAGAUCUGAUUUGUGGCCUCAGCAUCCUAUUACCAUAUCUGGGGGCUUCACAGGUGCUGAAGCUUCCCCAACUCCCAGAGAGAGAAGAGAACUGUGCUGAGCUCACCAGCUCUGGCUCAACACAUAGGAAAGGAACCCCCCGCCUCCCAGGUGGAGUGGAGAAGAGCGUGAGAGACAGACUAGCCUGGCUUUCCCCAGCCAUCCCUUGGAUCCAGCACAUUGCUCCCAUUCCUGCUUCAGGUAUGACGGCCUUUUUCUGCCACUAGCCGCUCUCAUUAGACCAAUGCCUCAUAUUUA